GACGAACGCUGGCGGCGCGCUUAACACAUGCAAGUCGAGCGGAGCGGCGGACGGGUGAGUAAUGCCAAGGCAUCUGCCUGGUAGUGGGGGAGAACGUCAGGAAACGGACGCUAAUACCGCAUACUAUCAGAUGAGCCUAGGUCGGAUUAGCUUUGUGGUGGGGUAAAGGCCUACAUAGGCGACGAUCCGUAACUGGUCUGAGAGGAUGAUCAGUCACACUGGAACUGAGACACGGUCCAGACUCCUACGGGAGGCAGCAGUGGGGAAUAUUGGACAAUGGGCGCAAGCCUGAUCCAGCCAUGCCGCGUGUGUGAAGAAGGUCUUCGGAUUGUAAAGCACUUUAAGUUGGGAGGCGUUACCAACAGAAUAAGCACCGGCUAACUUCGUGCCAGCAGCCGCGGUAAUUC
rnacentral:rRNA from 1 species